GCAAGGACUAUUUUAAUCAAAUGCAAAUUAAACAAUAUAUAAUUAAGCAGAUAUUUAACACACACACACACACACACACAAAAAACCCAUGGCACUUUGUGUGCAAUUGGAAAAAUGUUUCUCUUACCUCUAACAAAAGAAUAAUAAAAAAGUGUCACAGCUUAGAGCAUGCGGAUUUGAAAAUUGGUUUAGAGGUGUGGGGUGAGAUCUGGGUACAAAUGGGAAACGUUACUCCAAAUAUCCAAGAUUUGCAGUAUAAAAUGAUGCAUAUUUGGCAUCUUAAAAUGAGUUAAAUACAACCUCAGAUGAACUACGACACAUGACAGAUUACACCGUGUCAUGAUUUAACAAAUAUAAAGCCAAAAUGGAGAAGCCAUGUGUGAAAAACCAAGUACACCUUAUAAUUCAAUAGCUUGUACAACCAACUUUAGCAGCAAUAAAUUGAAGAAAUGUUCUGUAUUUUAUCAGUCUCUCAUGUCUAUGUUAAUAUGUCUGAUAUAUAAAAACCAUAGAAUUCAAAAGAGGGUAUACUUUCUUUUUCCCAUGAAUUUAUGUAUAUAUAAAAAUAAUAAUAAAGAAA